rnacentral:lncRNA from 1 species
GUUGUAGAGAAAAGGGAACAUUUCUAGGCUGCUGGUGGGAAUGUAAAUUAGGUCAGGCAUAGUGGAAAGCUAGUUAGCAAUAUCUCAAAAACUUAAAACUACAAAACCGAGAAUUACAUUUGACCCCACAAUCCCAAUAUUGCGUACAUAGCCAAAGGAAUGUAAAUCAUUCUAUGAUAAAGACACAUGCAUGUGUAUGUUCAUUGCAGCACUAUUCACAAUAGCAAAGACAUGGAAUCAACCUACACGUCCAUCAUUGGUAGACUGGAUAAAAAUGGUGGUACAUACACAAUGGAAUACUAUACAUCCGUCAAAAAUUAGAUCAUGUCUUUUGCAGCAACAUAAAUGGAACUGGCAAAGUAAACUAACACAGAAACAGAAAAUCAAAUAUCACGUUAUCACUUAUAUGUGGGAGCUACACCAAGAUGGGAACAAUAGACUCUGGGGUCUACUUGAGGGUGGAGGGUGGGAGGAGGGUGAGGAUUGAAAAACUACCUAUCAGAGACUAUGCUUAUUAGUUGGCUGACAAAGUAAUCUGUAUAUCAAACCCCUGUGACAUGCAAUUUACCUAUAUAACAAAUCUGCCCCUGAACCUAAAAUAAAAGUUAAGAAAAAAGAACCCUUUCCCUGCUUCCUGACACAUCCUAAAAUAUUGUGUCUUGCAUAACAGAUGACCUUGAAAUUCAAAGCAUGGCUUCAA